GACGAACGCUGGCGGCGUGCCUAAUACAUGCAAGUUGAGCGAUGAAGAUUGGUGCUUGCCCCAAUUUGAAGAGCAGCGAACGGGUGAGUAACGCGUGGGGAAUCUGCCUUUGAGCGGGGGACAACAUUUGGAAACGAAUGCUAAUACCGCAUAACAACUUUAAACAUAAGUUUUAAGUUUGAAAGAUGCAAUUGCCUCACUCAAAGAUGAUCCCGCGUUGUAUUAGCUAGUUGGUGAGGUAAAGGCUCACCAAGGCGAUGAUACAUAGCCGACCUGAGAGGGUGAUCGGCCACAUUGGGACUGAGACACGGCCCAAACUCCUACGGGAGGCAGCAGUAGGGAAUCUUCGGCAAUGGACGAAAGUCUGACCGAGCAACGCCGCGUGAGUGAAGAAGGUUUUCGGAUCGUAAAACUCUGUUGGUAGAGAAGAACGUUGGUGAGAGUGGAAAGCUCAUCAAGUGACGGUAACUACCCAGAAAGGGACGGCUAACUACGUG
rnacentral:rRNA from 1 species